rnacentral:sRNA from 1 species
CUCUGGUGCAAUAGAAAGAAUGUAUCUAACAGUAAGUUACAGAUCGAAUUCCUUGUUCUACUCUCCCCUCUUCUCACUACUGCACUUGACUAGUGUUAA